GGCACCCGCGCACAAGUCAGGCGUGUUGGUUUUAGGACAAAAACAAACAAAAAAAAAUGAAAAAAUGAAAAAACAAAACAAAACAAAACACCAACCCUCCCCCGCCCCCCCCCAGCCCCCCUGUGUGGGCGCCGGGUUCCUGCCACGGGGGCUGGGGGGCGCCUGUAGGUUCUGUUCAUCCUCCUCAUCCUCAUCUUCAUCCUCCUCCUCCUCAGGGCGCUGCUCGUUGUCCUCGCCUCGCCGCCGGAGCCGCCGGCCCCCGGGAGCGGAGCCGCCGGACGAGCGGAGAGCACCUAGCAAAAUGGAAUCCCACUCCCCGACUCAAGCCCGACCACAGCAGUGCUACAAAUAAUAAUUAAUAAGCAGCCUUUACAAACAUGCAUUCCUCUUCUCCUUACAGAUAAAAUCUGAUUUUGUUGAUGCUGUUUAUAUGUGGCUUAACACGGAAGUCACAAUGGCCACAAGAGAAGAUGCAGCGUUGUUAUUGUUUGGUGAUGCAUGUUAGAGUUUUAACAAUUCCUGCAGCAGUAAUAAAUAUUGUUAAUUUUUUUCAGAGAUUAACAGGGCGUUUUUUUUUCUUUUUCUUUUUUUCCCUGAUGCAAUUCAAUUGAGGAUGUUUUUGUUACAUACACUGGUGGAGAAAAAUACCCUCGUCUCUGAAUUUUUACAAUCUUGAGUGUUGGGCUUUCAAAUAAUUCUCUUUCUUUCAUGUGAUCUUGUCACCUUACAUUAUCCUUAAGUAAAAAUACAUCUCUUCUACUCUGCCACUGAAAUUUAAUGUUUUUUAAGAGAUGUUUUCACUCUGUAAAAAUCAGCAUUA